AGAAAAGAAAAGGAAAGUAGGAAGGACAUAACCAAGUGUUGGCGAGGAUGUGGAUAAAUUGGAACCGAUUUAUACAUGGCUCCUGGGAAUGAAAAUUCUGCUCCUGCUGAGG